rnacentral:misc_RNA from 1 species
UCCGGUUUAUCACCGGCAGUCUCCCUAGAGUCCCCACCUUUACGUGCUGGUAACUAGGAACAGGGGUUGCGCUCGUUACGGGACUUAACCCAACAUCUCACAACACGAGCUGACGACAGCCAUGCAGCACCUGUGUCACGGCUCCCUUUCGGGCACUCCAGCAUCUCUGCCAGAUUCCGUGCAUGUCAAAAGUAGGUAAGGUUCUUCGCGUUGCAUCGAAUUAAACCACAUGCUCCACCGCUUGUGCGGGCCCCCGUCAAUUCCUUUGAGUUUUAGCCUUGCGGCCGUACUCCCCAGGCGGAAAACUUAUCGCGUUGGCUGCGCUACUAACAAGCAUUCGCUCGCUAACAGCUAGUUCUCAUCGUUUACAGCGUGGACUAC